GGAAACAGAUGCUAAUACCGGAUAACAACAGAUGAUGCCUAUCAACUGUUUAAAAGAUGGUUCUGCUAUCACUCUUGGAUGGACCUGCGGUGCAUUAGCUAGUUGGUAGGGUAACGGCCUACCAAGGCGAUGAUGCAUAGCCGAGUUGAGAGACUGAUCGGCCACAUUGGGACUGAGACACGGCCCAAACUCCUACGGGAGGCAGCAGCC
rnacentral:rRNA from 1 species